UAGGCCGGAUAUGGAAGACCUGUGAGGGUUGGAGUUGACCGGUACUAAUAAGCCGAGGGCUUGACCA
rnacentral:rRNA from 1 species